rnacentral:rRNA from 1 species
AUUGAACGCUGGCGGCAGGCCUAACACAUGCAAGUCGAACGAGUGGCGGACGGGUGAGUAAUGUCUGGGACACUUCGCUAUGGUGGGGGAUAACUACUGGAAACGGUAGCUAAUCCCCCAUACUUUCGGAUGUGCCCAGAUGGGAUUAGCUAGUAGGUGGGGUAACGGCUCACCUAGGCGACGAUCCCUAGCUGGUCUGAGAGGAUGACCAGCCACACUGGAACUGAGACACGGUCCAGACUCCUACGGGAGGCAGCAGUGGGGAAUAUUGCCCAAUGGGCGCAAGCCUGAUGCAGCCAUGCCGCUUGUAUGAAGAAGGCCUUCGGGUUGUAAAGUACUUUCAGCGAGGAGGCGUUACUCGCAGAAGAAGCACCGGCUAACUCCGUGCCAGCAGCCGCGGUAAUAC